GUGAGGAAUUUUCCGCAAUGGGCGAAAGCCUGACGGAGCAAUGCCGCGUGAAGGAUGAAGGCCUAUGGGUUGUAAACUUCUUUUCUCAGAAAAGAAUUAUGACGGUAUCUGAGGAAUAAGCAUCGGCUAACUCUGUGCCAGCAGCCGCGGUAAGACAGAGGAUGCAAGCGUUAUCCGGAAUGAUUGGGCGUAAAGCGUCUGUAGGUUGUUUAAAAAGUAUUCUGUCAAAGAUUAGGGCUUAACCCUAGAUAGGCAGAAUAAACUUUUAAGCUAGAGUUUGGUAGAGGCAGAGGGAAUUCCCGGUGGAGCGGUGAAAUGCGUAGAUAUCGGGAGGAACACCAAAGGCGAAGGCACUCUGCUGGGCCAAUACUAACACUGAGAGACGAAAGCGAGGGGAGCAAAUGGGAUUAGAUGCCCCGGUAGUCC
rnacentral:rRNA from 1 species